UACAACAUAAUGUUAAUGCACUGGAUUCCAUUAGAACUCCGCAAUUAAGCGUGCUCACGCUAGAAUUUUACUGGGAUGGGUGACCACCUCAACAGUACUAGUGUUUUAC
rfam:Picea glauca, whole genome shotgun sequence.